UGGUUUGUCCGUCAGUUCCAAAGAUCGCACCUUAAAUAAAAAUUAACGACAUUAUCGAUAUUGCAGGGGUUGUUCCAACCCGCCUAGGAAUAUGGGAGUUUUUCAAACUGCUUUAUCAGAUGAUGGUUACCAACAAUUAAUGCUACUGAAUAAUAACGAAACAUUGCGAGAUUCUUCAAGUUCCAUCGUUAAAGAAUGUAUCUUUGAGCGAAGUUUAUCAGAAUCUUCCUCAAGUUCUUCUCGUCGAACUCGUUCGUACUCCAACUGAGCCUCAAGCUCCCGUAUCACUCUACAUUGAAUUGAAGAGUAAUUAAAUUAAAUGAAAAUUUAUUCACUUUAGUAGGCAGAACGACUAUAUAACCUUGCACUUUCUUUUUUCUCUUCCUGUUCGAUUUUAUCUUCCUCCAGUUCUCCACCAAGCUGUUGAAAAUUCAUUUUCGCUGUAUUCAACAAUCGCUGCAAUUCUUCCAUCUUACGUUUAGCACGACCUCAAAUAUAACUCAAUUUUUAAUCAUUCAUCAUUUCACGCAGACUAAGUAAGUCCUUGGCUAUAUUGUACCUAUAUAUUAAAUAUUUUGCAAGAAACUUAAGCGACUUUCUCAUAACGGGUUUGGAUUAAAAUCAGUAAAAAAGAAAGUUGCUUCUUAGGUUCGGCAAGAUUAAACAUAAGUGAAGAUCUAGACGUCGCGUUGUAUGUAUAUAAUUUCGCAAUAAGUUAUACUGUAAACAUCCUUGGUUCAAUAAGGAUUAUUUUUAGAAGGUGAAUAUAACGGUUAAGAUUCAAGAUAAAAA